AUGCACUGGCGGUCUUGGGAAUGGCUUACCACACCAAAAUUUCUUGGCGGGAUGGGAUUCUGCGACAUGGCCCUGUUCAACCAGGCCAUGCUUGGACGGCAAGGCUGGCGCAUGCUCACUUCGCCGGACUCCCUUUGCGCUCGCGUUCUCAAAGGCAGAUACUUUCCUCAUGGUGAUUUCUGGCAUGCCGAAGCCCCACGAUCGGCCUCCUAUACAUGGCGCAGCAUUUUGUUUGGUCGGAAGUUGUUGCAACAGGGGGUGCAAUGGGGUAUUGGCAAUGGAGCGGCUGUUCGAAUUAUGGGUGAUCACUGGAUACCGUCCACACCGCCGGAAUUGCUGCAAACUAUGUCUCUGAUACCGUCUUCUGCUACGGUCAAGUGUCUUUUGAACGAGGAUCAAGGUUCCUGGUGUGAGGAAACGGUUCGAGCUUUCUUCCAGGACGAGAUUGCAAAUGAGAUUCUGUUGCUUCCAGUUGGUCGACAUGGUGAGGAAGAUUAUGUGAGAUGGCCUCAUACAAAAUUUGGUGAGUACUCAGUUCGCUCGGCUUAUAAUCUGGCUCGAACUAUUCGAUUCCAAAGAGUACAUAGUGUUUCUAGGCGUGGAAUGACAUCUGAUGGUGAGGCUCCUAAAAAGAACUAG
rnacentral:rRNA from 1 species